rnacentral:rRNA from 1 species
UACGUAGGUGGCAAGCGUUGUCCGGAAUUAUUGGGCGUAAAGCGCGCGCAGGCGGCUUCUUAAGUCUGAUGUGAAAUCUUGCGGCUCAACCGCAAACGGUCAUUGGAAACUGGGAGCUUGAGUGCAGAAGAGGAGAGUAGAAUUCCACGUGUAGCGGUGAAAUGCGUAGAUAUCAGGAGGAACACCCGUGGCGAAGGCGGCUCUCUGGGUCCGCCCUGACGCUGAGGCGCGAAAGCGUGGGGAGCGAACGGG